rnacentral:rRNA from 1 species
GAUGAACGCUGGCGGCGUGCCUAAUACAUGCAAGUCGAGCGAACGGACGAGAAGCUUGCUUCUCUGAUGUUAGCAGCGGACGGGUGAGUAACACGUGGAUAACCUACCUAUAAGACUGGGAUAACUUCGGGAAACCGGAGCUAAUACCGGAUGAUAUUUUGAACCGCAUGGUUCAAAAGUGAAAGACGGUCUUGCUGUCACUUAUAGAUGGAUCCGCGCUGCAUUAGCUAGUUGGUAAGGUAACGGCUUACCAAGGCAACGAUGCAUAGCCGACCUGAGAGGGUGAUCGGCCACACUGGAACUGAGUCACGGUCCAGACUCCUACGGGAGGCAGCAGUAGGGAAUCUUCCGCAAUGGGCGAAAGCCUGACGGAGCAACGCCGCGUGAGUGAUGAAGGUCUUCGGAUCGUAAAACUCUGUUAUUAGGGAAGAACAUAUGUGUAAGUAACUGUGCACAUCUUGACGGUACCUAAUCAGAAAGCCACGGCUAACUACGUG